rnacentral:rRNA from 1 species
UCUCCGUAGGGUGAAUCUGCGGAGGGAUCAUUACACAAAUUAAAAUAUGAAGGCUUCGGCUGGAUUAUUUUUAUCACCCUUGUCUUUUGCGCACUUGUUGUUUCCUGGGCGGGUUCGCCCGCCACCAGGACCACACCAUAAACCUUUUUUUAUGCAGUUGCAAUCAGCGUCAGUAUAACAAAUGUAAAUCAUUUACAACUUUCAACAACGGAUCUCUUGGUUCUGGCAUCGAUGAAGAACGCAGCGAAAUGCGAUACGUAGUGUGAAUUGCAGAAUUCAGUGAAUCAUCGCGAAUCUUUGAACGCACAUUGCGCCCUUUGGUAUUCCAAAGGGCAUGCCUGUUCGAGCGUCAUUUGUACCCUCAAGCUUUGCUUGGUGUUGGGCGUCUUUUGUCUUUGGCCUCGCCCAAAGACUCGCCUUAAAACGAUUGGCAGCCGGCCUACUGGUUUCGCAGCGCAGCACAUUUUUGCGCUUGCAAUCAGCAAAAAGGACGGCAAUCCAUCAAGACUACAUUUUUACGUUGACCUCGAUCAGGUAG